AAAUUGAAGAGUUUGAUCAUGGCUCAGAUUGAACGCUGGCGGCAGGCCUAACACAUGCAAGUCGAACGGUAACAGGAAACAGCUUGCUGUUUCGCUGACGAGUGGCGGACGGGUGA
rnacentral:rRNA from 2 species